GGCCUCGUAGUUCAAUGGAUAGAAUGGGAGUUUCCUAAACUUUUGAUGCAGGUUCGAUCCCCGCCGAGGCUACUA
rnacentral:tRNA from 1 species